rnacentral:rRNA from 1 species
GAUGAACGCUAGCUACAGGCUUAACACAUGCAAGUCGAGGGGCAGCAUGUUGGUUGCAUGCAACCAACGAUGGCGACCGGCGCACGGGUGAGUAACGCGUAUCCAACCUGCCCUUGUCCAUCGGAUAACCCGUCGAAAGGCGGACUAACACGAUAUGCAGUUCUCAGCAGGCAUCUAACGAGAACGAAAUGUAAAGGAGAAGGAUGGGGAUGCGUCUGAUUAGCUUGUUGGCGGGGUAACGGCCCACCAAGGCGACGAUCAGUAGGGGUUCUGAGAGGAAGGUCCCCCACAUUGGAACUGAGACACGGUCCAAACUCCUACGGGAGGCAGCAGUGAGGAAUAUUGGUCAAUGGGCGAGAGCCUGAACCAGCCAAGUAGCGUGCAGGAUGACGGCCCUAUGGGUUGUAAACUGCUUUUAUACGGGGAUAAAGUGAGCCACGUGUGGCUUAUUGCAGGUACCGUAUGAAUAAGGACCGGCUAAUUCCGUGCCAGCCGCCGCGGUAAUAC